rnacentral:lncRNA from 1 species
UUAUUAAUAAAGUGAUAUAUUCAGCUAUAUUGUGUUUCCUUAUUUCUGGUAUCUAUCACAAACAAACAAGUAUAGCCAGUUAAAAAUUGAUCCAGAAAACACUGCACUGUACCAGUAAAUAAAACCCUUAGCUUCACAGUGCACAAAAUUUCCAUGCACUAUUUAAACCCCUACACCAUAACAGGCUCGAAGAUCAUAAUCUUCAAUGAUCAAGUAUUGCUCUUGUAUGGACAAACACCGAAUGAUUCAUGUACCUUCCAAAUCAACCACUUAAGAAUAAUAGUGAAUGCAAACAUAAUAAAACGAGAGAGACUACAACCAUUCGAAAAAGUAAUCUACCGCCAUUGCCUCCACAACACUACAGACAUCCAUAGCAAGCAAGUUUCCACUGCAAAUGCCGAAGGCACAACUCUACACAACUCUACAAAUGCCAAAGCCUCUCAUACUCAUAGUGCCUGUUUACAAGAACUCCCACUCCAAAAGUUUAGCCAGAAAAAUAAUUGUGAAGAAAAUAACGAAUGUAAAGAUAAUAGAACCUAAAGUUUCCCUGGAUAUCCAACCACUGCUUCCCAAACCUAUCCACCACCCACUAUUUGCACACCCUGCACCCACUUCAUUUUAGUUUCCCUGCAAAGCCCAUGCAUACAAAAAAAAUAUAAUUAAUCUGGGUAGAAGAUGAAGGAGCUAAUCAAUAAGAUAAAAACAGGAAUUAAAAUUCCAAAGGAGAUAUUCCCAAAACAGGCUCGGUGAUCAUAAUGUUCAGCAUUACUGAUCUUGCACCAUGGCCGGAACAUGUACCUUACUACAACCAAUAAAAGAGACUUUUCCAACUCGACAGACAAAAGGCCCAAACAACUACAACCAAUAAAAGAGACUAAAGUCCUUCCAACUCGAGCAGAUAAAAAAUAGUAAAUGAGAACGUAAUAAAACAUGAAGCUUUGAAGUAAGUUAAAUAAUCUAAACCUACUGUAUCCAGAUCCAAUAUACAUCUUCUUCACUGCAACAUGAGCAGAAGAGCAUAGUCAAAAUCAACAGCCAACUGUCACAACACAAAUGUCAAAGCCUCUCACUCAUAGAGUGCCUAUUUACAAAUCUCCCACUCCACAAUUUUAACAUGACAAAUAACGUCAAUGAAAAUAGUCAAUGAAAAUAGUGAGUUCAAAGAAAACGAAUUCAAAGAUAAUAAAACCUUACGUUCAACAUAUCUCCAUCCACUGCUACCUAAACUUGCCCACCACCCACCAUUUGCUCACCCUGCACCCAUUUCAAUUCUUCUUUUCCUGUAAACUCAUUAAUCCAAGAAAACAAUAAUCAAUAUGGGUAGAAGAUAAAGGGUCACCCAUCCAUUAAAAAAACAAUAAUCAAUUUGGAUAGAAGACGAAGGACCAACACCAUAAGAUGAAUAAACAAAUUCAGGAACCAAAAAACUAAUUGAGAAACUUCCAUAGCAGGCUCGAUCUUCAUAAUCUUAAGCAAUCAAGUAUUGCUAUAAUUAAUCUGGGUAGAAGAUGAAGGACCUAGAAGAUAAGAUGAAUAAUGUCCAGCAAUCAAGUAUCGCUCUUGUUUUAACAAAGACCAUGCCCAAAACAUGUACCUUCCUAAAACAAAUAAGAGAGACUAAAGCCACUCGGGCACACAAGAAAACAAGUAAAUGACUCUUCAAUGCAAAAGGAGUGGGAGAAGAUGAUCAAAAUCAACGGAGUCAAUGGUCAAACAACCCAAACGACAAAGCCUCCACUCAGAGUGCCUACUUUCAGGAUCUCCCACUCCAAAAGUCAGAGCCAAAUGUCAAAGGCUCUCACUCAUAGAGUGCCUACUAUCAUGAUCUCCCGCUCCAAAACAUAGACCCAAAUACCGAAGCCUCAAACUCAUAGAAUGCGUACAUUAAAGAUCUCCCACUCGAAAAGUUUAGUUUGAAGACCGAAACCAGCCCACCACCCACCAUUUGCAAACCCCUGCACACAUUUCAUUUCUUUGUUUCCGUGUAAAGCCCAUCAAUUCAAGAAAACAAUAAUCAAUUUGGGUAGAAGAUGAAGAACUAAGACCCCAUCCAUUCAAGAAAUUUGGGUAAAUGAUGAAAGACCCAAGCCCAUAAGAUGAAUAAACAAAUUCAAAAACAAAAAUACUAAUUGAGAAACUUCCAUAGUAGGUUCGAUCAUCAUAAGGUUCAGCGAUCAAGUAUUACUCAUGCUUAGAUAAACACCAUGGCUGACACAUGAACGUUCCUACAACCAAUACGUUUUUUCAUGUAAAGCCCACGUAUUCAAUAAAACUACAAUUAAUCUGGGCAGAAGAUGAAAGACCUAGAUGACAAGACGAAUAAACAAAUUAAAGAAUUAAAAAAACAAUGGAUAAAUUUCCAUAACAGAUUCUUUGACCAUAUUUUUCCAGUGAGCGUGUACCUUCCUACAACCUACAACCAAUAAGAGAGACUAAAGCCACUUAAGCAAACUAGAAUAAUCGUAAAUGAGAAUGUAAUUAAACAUAAAGCUUUGCAGUAAUUUAAAUAAUCUACACCUNCUGCAUGCACGAUCCAAUAAACAUCCUCUUCACNGCAAGAGGAGUAGAAGAAGAUAAUCAAAAUCAACAGAGCCAACAGAUCAACAACCCAAAUGUCAAAGCCUCUCACUUAUAGAGUGCAUACUUUAAAGAUCUCCCAUUCCACAAGUUUAGUUUGAAAAAUAACAGCAAUGAAAUUAACGAAUGCAAAGANAAUAAAACAAAGGGAUAAUAAAACAAAGGGUUACACCGGAGCUCCANCCAUUGUUACCAUCCACUGUUUCUGAAGCUGCNCACCACCCACCAUUUGCAUACCCUGCAAUCACUUGAUUUCUUAGUUUUCUUGUAAAGCCCAUCGAUCAGAUGAAGGACCUAGAUGAUAUGAUAAAUAAACAAAUACAAUAAUUAAAAAACCAAUGGAGAAAUUUCCAAACAAGCUCGAUCAUGUUAAUGUUCCAGCGAUCAAUUAUUGCUCUUGUAUAGACAAACCCCAUGGCCGAAACAUGUACCUCCCUACAACAAACAAGAGAGACUAAAGCCAAUCCACCUAGAACAGACAAGAAAAAUAGUACAUCAGAAUCAAAGAAAACAUAAAGCUCUAUGGUAAGUUAAAUAACCUACAACUACUGCGCCCACGAUCCAAUAGACAUCUUCAUUGCAAGAUGAGUAGAAGAAGAUUAAUCAAAAUCAACAGCCAAAGGUCCAACGAGACUAUCACUCAUAGAGUGCCUACUUUCAAGAUCUACCACUCCAAGUUUAGUUUGAAGAAUAACGGCAAUCAAAAUAAUAAAUUAAAAAAUAAUAAAACCUAAGGUUCACCAGAUUUCCACUCAAAAAUAAUAAAACCUAAGAAUCACCGGAUUUCCAUCCACCAUUACCGCAACCUGCCCACCACCCAUCAUUUACACACCCUGCACACAUUUCAUUUCUUAGUUUCCGUGUAAAGCCCAUCAAUUCAAGAAAACAAUAAUCAAUUUGGAUAGAAGAUGAAGGAUCUCGAUCAAAUCCAUUCAAGAAAUUUGGGUAGAAGAUGAAAGACCCAAGACCAUAAUAUGAAUAAACAAAUUAGCGAAUAUUAAUUGAGAAACUUCCUUAGUAGGCUCGAUCAAGUAUUGCUCAGCCUUACACAAACACCAUGACUGACACAUGUACCUUUCUACAACCAAUACGUUUUCAUGUAAAGCCCAUGUAUUCAAUAAAACUAUAAUUAAUCUGGGU